ACGGAAGGCAGCAGUCGGGAAUAUUGCGCAAUGGAGGAAACUCUGACGCAGUGACGCCGCGUGCAGGAAGAAGGUUUUCGGAUUGUAAACUGCUUUAGACAGGGAAGAAACAAGACAGUACCUGUAAAAUAAGCUCCGGCUAACUACGUGCCAGCAGCCGCGGUAAUACGUAGGGAGCAAGCGUUAUCCGGAUUUAUUGGGUGUAAAGGGUGCGUAGACGGGAGAGCAAGUUAGUUGUGAAAUCCCUCGGCUUAACUGAGGAACUGCAACUAAAACUAUUCUUCUUGAGUGCUGGAGAGGAAAGUGGAAUUCCUAGUGUAGCGGUGAAAUGCGUAGAUAUUAGGAGGAACACCAGUGGCGAAGGCGACUUUCUGGACAGUAACUGACGUUGAGGCACGAAAGUGUGGGGAGCAAACAGGAUUAGAUACCCUGGUA
rnacentral:rRNA from 1 species